UCCAGCGCAGUACAUUAAAGUUCAUCAAGACUUUGCAGACAACCUAAUUGUCGCACCGCUACCCAGGAAUGUGCACCCAACACAUAACAUCAACAGGAAGGUUGCACGAGCCAGGCCGUUACUCAAGAAAAUGAAUAAAGGGGGCAGAGGAGCCUGC
rnacentral:lncRNA from 1 species